rnacentral:rRNA from 1 species
ACGGGAGGCAGCAGUGAGGAAUAUUGGUCAAUGGGCGGAAGCCUGAACCAGCCAAGUAGCGUGAAGGAUGACGGCCCUACGGGUUGUAAACUUCUUUUGCCGGGGGAUAAAAAACGGGACGCGUCCCGUCUUGCAGGUACCCGUGCGAAUAAGGACCGGCUAAUUCCGUGCCAGCAGCCGCGGUAAUACGGAAGGUCCGAGCGUUAUCCGGAUUUAUUGGGUUUAAAGGGUGCGCAGGCGGCACGUUAAGUCAGCGGUGAAAUGUCGGGGCUCAACCCGGGCACUGCCGUUGAAACUGGCGAGCUUGAGUACGGAUGAAGUCGGCGGAAUGUGAUGUGUAGCGGUGAAAUGCUUAGAUAUGUCACAGAACACCGAUUGCGAAGGCAGCUGACUAAUCCGCAACUGACGCUCAGGCACGAAAGCGUGGGGAUCGAACAGGAUUAGAUACCCUGGUA